GGGGAUUUAGCUCAGCGGCAUAAGCGCCUGCCUUGCAAGCAGGCGGUUGUUGUAAGUUUGAUCCCCG
rnacentral:tRNA from 1 species